CUUUUCAUGCUUCCCAAAAAUCUUUUGAAAGCUUCCUCAAGGCAAAAUCUUUCCAAAACACUUCAAAGCUUUCUCUUCAAACCAAAGCUUGAACUAACACAAGGAAAGUUUCAUUAGGGUGGGGUGUGCCACCCUAGGUGGUACUUCAUGGGCCCCACCCACAUGCAAUGGUAGGCCCAUUAACAUAUUGGGCCUCCCAUGCAAUAUUAAAAUUAAUUAUAUGAUUUUUAGAAAUCCAUAAAAUGAAAUUUGAAUAUUUAAAUCAAUCUAAAAUCAAUAUCUCUGUAUUUAUAAAUCCAAAUUUGAUAAAUAAAAUAUCCAGAGAUCUAAAAAAAUUCAAAUAAUAAUUCUAAAAAUCAGAUAUCAUUAAAACAAACAUAAUUAAAUUUAUUAGAUGGGAAAAAGAUCCAUAUAGUCUAGGAAUUAAAUAAAUAAAUGUUGGGGCACUCCACCUUCAACUGUGGACUACGAUCCACACUUGCUUUAUCAAAACGACCCAGUGUUUCCUAUGACCCACUUGUCCAUGUAGAGGCUCAUUAGUGGGUCACCAAAGUCUGACCAAUGAGUCAAGGGGUUGUAAUAUCAAUUUAUGGAUUUCAAGUUUUCCCCUAGAGACGUACGAAGGGCACCUAGACCCGAUGUAACCACAGCUCCUAUGACGCAUAAGGGUAUCUCUCGCACAUGCAUAAGCUUCGUCCUAAAAGGUGGUUCGCUUUCCUGAAACGACUAUCAUUAUGCAUGCCGUGUGAUGGCUCGCUGAUGAGCCUUUGACCCCCAUCUUUGAAGGCCACCAUCACACACAAGGGUCACAUAGUCCGUAGGCUCAUUCAUCCGGGCAUACUCCGACCUCAUCAAGGGAUGAUCAAUUAGAACUCUUAUCGGAUAGUUUUCUAUGCCCAGGUAACAUAAGUUUUUCCCAACCGACUGGCCUAGCUCGUCAAGCUCAGUCCGGUAUCAGCAAGCAUCGUUUGCUUAGUAUGGUCCACGAGGGACCACACUCUCACUGAGUUCAUGUUCCAUUCUAUCAUUUCAUUUUACAAGCACUCAUAAGGCCUUUAAUAGCCACACUCACCCAACACUUCUUCCAAGAACUAUACAAAUAAAAGAGAAAAGCCAUCUUUUAAGUGUUUUUCAGCAGCAUUCAAUGGAGAGGGUAUUCAUGAUGCUCUCUCGUAAGUAUCAGUUGCUUAUGUGUGGGGUUUUUAACUUUCUGCUAUUCUCAACUUUUGGAAUGAAUAAUAUCCACUACUAUCACUGCUAGUCUUUUGAUGUAUUUGAUAAAGAUCAUCACCAUUCUUGUUCUCAAGAUUGACAUCAUUCAACAAUAAAUUCAUUUUAGUUUUCUUCAUUAUUUGGGAGUAAUUUUUUAUUUUACAAGUCUUAAAUUCUUUGUCUGGAACUCGUUAUCAUAGGUGAAGGAUAUUGCUCUAUCAUUCCUGAUGCACCUGAAGCAGAAUCCCAUCCUCCUACUAAAAUUUUAGCUGAGACAAUUGCUGACUAUGUUGAGCAGUAUCUGGAAGCAAUGGAGAAGGUUAUUGUCUUAAAUCAUGGGCUAAUAAUAAUAAUAUAAUACUAAUAAUAUACUAGUAAUAAUAAUAUAAUAAUAAUAAUAGUGAAAGUAAUAUUAACAGUAACAGUAACAACAACAACAACAACAUGAAUAGUAAUAGAAGUAGUAGGAGUAAUAGUAAAAGUAGUAGUAGUACUAGUAGCAGCAAGAGUAGCAGCAACAGCAGUAGUAGAUAAUAAUAAUAAUAAUAAUGAUGAUGAUGAUGAUGAUGUAAUAAUAAUAAUAAUAAUAAUAGUAAAAGUAAUAUUAACAGUUAUAGUAACAACAACAGCAACAAGAAUAGUAAUAGUAGUAGUACGAGUAGUAGUAAAAGUAGUAGUAGUACUAGUAGCAAUAGGAGUAGCAGUAGCAGCAACAACAGCAGUAGUAGAUAAUAAUAAUAAUAAUAAUAAUAAUAGUAUGUUGCUAUUACGAGCUUGAGUUGUACAUUAGAUUAUGGGGCAAUUUGGGUUACUGAGGCUUCUCUUCGUUCACAUAUAAUUUGUGUUUCUAUGAUCAGGUUAAGCUUAAACAAGGAUUGAAAAUUGCAAUGAGCAUUUCUAGUAAGGGAAAUGCAUAUCUACAAGUACGUAUAUAUUUACCUUUAUUGUACUGAACAUUUCAAUUUGUUCCCUUGACUAGUUCACACCCGCAAUAAAUGGGUGUGUUUGUGCGCAAGCAUGUUUGUGUUAGAGAGAGAGAGAGAGAGAGAGAGAGAGAGAGAGAGA
rnacentral:lncRNA from 1 species